GCAAUCAUACCAGCACUAAUGCACCAGAUCCCAUCAGAAUACCGCAUUUAAGCGUGCUUAGGCGAGAGUAGUACUUGGAUGGGUAACCACCUGGGAAGUACUCGUGUUGCCCCC